rnacentral:snRNA from 1 species
AUACUUACCUGGCAGGGGAGAUACCAUGAUCACGAAGGUGGUUUUCCCAGGGCGAGGCGUGUUCCUACGAUGUGCUCCUGGCCUGCAGUCCGGGAGAGCUGAAUAAAACUCCUCCUGAAGCUUUUCUGCAGCCUGAAGAGAUGGAUUUCAGG